rnacentral:rRNA from 1 species
GAUGAACGCUGGCGGCGUGCCUAAUACAUGCAAGUCGAGCGAACAGACGAGGAGCUUGCUCCUCUGACGUUAGCGGCGGACGGGUGAGUAACACGUGGAUAACCUACCUAUAAGACUGGGAUAACUUCGGGAAACCGGAGCUAAUACCGGAUAAUAUAUUGAACCGCAUGGUUCAAUAGUGAAAGACGGUUUUGCUGUCACUUAUAGAUGGAUCCGCGCCGCAUUAGCUAGUUGGUAAGGUAACGGCUUACCAAGGCAACGAUGCGUAGCCGACCUGAGAAGGUGAUCGGCCAAACUGGAACUGAGACACGGUCCAGACUCCUACGGGAGGCAGCCGUAGGGAAUCUUCCGCAAUGGGCGAAAGCCUGACGGAGCAACGCCGCGGGAGUGAUGAAGGUCUUCGGAUCGUAAAACUCUGUUAUUAGGGAAGAACAAAUGUGUAAGUAACUAUGCACGUCUUGACGGUACCUAAUCAGAAAGCCGCGGCUAACUACGUG